rnacentral:tRNA from 1 species
GCGGUUGUGGCGAAGUGGCUAACGCAUCGGAUUGUGGCUCCGACAUUCGCCGGUUCAAUUCCGGUCAGCCGCCCCA